AGAGUUGAUCCUGGCUCAGGAUGAACGCUAGCUACAGGCUUAACACAUGCAAGUCGAGGGGCAGCAUGACGAUAGCUUGCUAUUGUUGAUGGCGACCGGCGCACGGGUGAGUAACGCGUAUCCAACCUUCCCUAUAGUAGAGGAUAGCCCGGCGAAAGUCGGAUUGAUACUCUAUGUUUUCCAAUGCAGACAUCUAAGUUGGAACAAAGGUUCACCGCUAUAGGAUGGGGAUGCGUCUGAUUAGAUAGUAGGCGGGGUAACGGCCCACCUAGUCGACGAUCAGUAGGGGUUCUGAGAGGAAGGUCCCCCACAUUGGAACUGAGACACGGUCCAAACUCCUACGGGAGGCAGCAGUGAGGAAUAUUGGUCAAUGGGCGAGAGCCUGAACCAGCCAAAGUAGCGUGCAGGAAGACGGCCCUAUGGGUUGUAAACUGCUUUUAUCGGGGGAUAAAGUGAGGGACGUGUCCCUUAUUGUAGGUACCCGAUGAAUAAGGACCGGCUAAUUCCGUGCCAGCCGCCGC
rnacentral:rRNA from 1 species